GGGAUAUUAGCUCAGUUGGCAGAGCAGCUGACUCUUAAUCAGCGGGUCGAGGGUUCGAGCCCCCCAUAUCCCA
rnacentral:tRNA from 1 species